CACACUUGACACCAUAGGCGUUGCCUUGUUAAACCAUAUUAACAACCAAUGAAAUAAGCUGUGUAAUUACCAUGUAAUAACAGGGUCGUAAACAAGUUUUGGAAAUGUCACUACUUUUAGAUUCCCUUUUUCAUAUGAAUUAGAAUUGGUAUUUUUUUCAAAUAGUAAUUUCAAACACGAUUUAAAUGGAAAAGCAGUGGAAGUGGACUGUAACUGGGUUCAUGUCUGGUAUUAAAUCAUUCCAUUUGUUAUUUCAUUACAGUUACUAAUAAGGCCUAAGUUACGCUGUGUUGCCAUGAUGAUGUUUGUACAAUCAUUGUGAAGUCUACAUCCCAGUUCUAACUGUGGAGGAUUCUGUUCUCUCUGCAGUCUCCGUUGCAGCUACUAGCUUUGCUUUGAUGGUUAUAGCUGUGCAGAGCACUCAGAAAUCCCAGUUUAUAUCUAAUGACACGAAUGGGCAGAGCUGGGUGGUAAACUCACCAGGCAGGAUCAAUGAGUUAGCCAGUUGACCAGGGUAAACUCAACACUGAGAAAUACGGUAACAGUUGACCUGGGUAAACUCAACACUGAGAAAUACAGUAACAGUUGACCUGGAUAAACUCAACACUGAGAAAUACAGUAACAGUUGACCUGGAUAAACUCAACACUGAGAAAUACAGUAACAGUUGACCUGGAUAAACUCAACACUGAGAAAUACAGUAACAGUUGACCUGGAUAAACUCAACACUGAGAAAUACAGUAUUAGUUUACCUGGGUAAACUCAACACUGAGAAAUACAGUAACAGUUGACCUGGAUAAACUCAACACUGAGAAAUACAGUAACAGUUGACCUGGAUAAACUCAACACUGAGAAAUACAGUAACAGUUGAUUGUCUUGAUCAAGUGUGCAUAAACUCAGGCCCUUGACAUCCACAGUCCUGCUAAGUUAGUGUUUCUCCCUGGUACUUAUGAUCAACUAAUGAUUGGCUGACCUGUGCACACACCUCGUUUCCCAGUGACAAAUCAAUCACUGGUAACAAGGCAAGGAUGAAAAAAAGUUAUUUUCACACUACGGAGUCGAUCUGAGCCAAGCUGAACUGGCCUGCAAAGGACAAGGUGAUAAGAAUGGUUAGAUGGUUAGGAUCAGAACGACAGUGUGACUAGGUUAAAGGAGUAGAACCAGAACAGUAUGGUUAGGAUCAGAACGGCAGUGUGACAAGGUUAAAGGAGUAGAACCAGAACAGCAUGGUUAUGAUCAGAAUGGCAGUGUGACUAGGUUAAAGGAGUAGAACCAGAACAGUAUGGUUAGGAUCAGAACGACAGUGCGACUAGGUUAAAGGAGUAGAACCAGAACAGUAUGGUUAUGAUCAGAAUGGCAGUGUGAUUAGGUUAAAGGAGUAGUCUGCUUUGAGGACUGAGACUUUGCACCAUGGUCUCUAGAUCAUAAGGGAGGUCAAGCUGCAGCUCAUUGAAAGUAAGAGUCAAAAAUACAAUUCCUGUUUCAAGAAAGUGUUUCUUAUGAACUGGAUAUACACUAUGUCCAAAAUAUAUUAUCAGAUACUUAGCUCACUGGUUCUGCCUGAUGACCUGCCCCCUGAUGGGGUCUAUCUAGCUCACUGGUUCUGCCUGGUGACCUGCCCCUGAUGGGGCCUCUCUAGCUCACUGGUUCUGCCUGGUGACCUGCCCCUGAUGGGGCCUCUCUAGCUCACUGGUUCUGCCCGGUGACCUGCCCCCUGAUGCCUCCCUAGCUCACUGGUUCUGCCUGGUGACCAGCCCCCUGGUGGGGCCUCCCUAGCUCACUGGUUCUGCCUGGUGACCAGCCCCCUGGUGGGGCCUCCCUAGCUCACUGGUUCUGCCUGGUGACCUGCCCCCUGAUGGGGCCUCUCUAGCUUACUGGUUCUGCCUGGUGACCAGCCCCCUGAUGGUGCCUCUCUAGCUCACUGGUUCUGCCCGGUGACCAGCCCCCUGGUGGGUCCUCCCUAGCUCACUGGUUCUGCCUGGUGACCAGCCCCCUGGUGGGGCCUCCCUAGCUCACUGGUUCUGCCUGGUGACCUGCCCCCUGAUGGGGUCUCUCUAGCUCACUGGUUCUGCCUGGUGACCUGCCCCCUGGUGGCAACAAUAGGCAUCAGGAGAUGAUGUGAAUGUUAAGUUCCCUUUCAGUCCGUUCACUACUAUUAACACUACUAACACACAGCUAUGUGGAUUGUGCUGUUCCUCACUACCAUCACAUACUACAGGCCAGUAAAACCCCAGACACAAGGCAUGUUAUUUUCUAAACAUCCUUUAGAAGUUACUUUUGCAGGAUCUUUGUUUAUGGGCGGUUACUGGUCAUACCAAGUACCACUGCACAACUUUCCCAAUCUUUGCCCCAAAUUCAGCUCCUUACUUUCUUGAACUAAGUUUAGCACCC